rnacentral:piRNA from 2 species
UGAUUGCUAAAGGUCUUGAUGGA